rnacentral:lncRNA from 1 species
AGAACACCACCCACCACCCCGGGCUCCCAGUGGCUUUGGAUGGUUACAGCAUGGGCAUCUCCUCGGCUAGAGACAACGGAAGAUCUCUGCUCAUGACCUCUGGGAGUCCUCACCACAGACAGUCUGUCCAUAAGGACUCUGGACCAGCACUUUGUUAUACUGAUGGAGAGUGUAUAAUAUGCUGGCGCCCACAUGAGGGGACAAGGCAGUCUGAGCAGAAACAUGAGCAGAGCCAGGCUGCAC